UACGGAGGGGGCUAGCGUUGUUCGGAAUUACUGGGCGUAAAGCGCGCGUAGGCGGACCUGCAAGUCGGGGGUGAAAGCCCGAGGCUCAACCUCGGAACUGCCUUCGAUACUGCGGGUCUCGAGUCCGGGAGAGGUGAGUGGAAUUCCUAGUGUAGAGGUGAAAUUCGUAGAUAUUAGGAAGAACACCAAUGCGAAGGCAGCCUUCUGGGCCAUUACUGACACUGAGAGACGAAAGCUAGGGGAGCAAAUGGG
rnacentral:rRNA from 1 species